rnacentral:rRNA from 1 species
GGGUUAGUGCGCUGGUCGUGCCUUCGGUAUGUACUGGUGUUUCUGAUUCCUACCUUCCGAAGAACCGUCAUGUCAUUAAUUUGGUGUGGCGGGGAAUCAGGACUGUUACUUUGAAAAAAUUAGAGUGUUUAAAGCAGGCUCGCGCUUGAAUACAUUAGCAUGGGAUAAUAAAAUAGGACGUGCGGUUCUAUUUUGUUGGUUUCUGGAGUCGCCGUAAUGA